AACAGUGUCACGAUAGUAAUUCAACCUAGUAUGAUAGAAACCAUUGAUUCAUAUAAUUGGUCAUCGUGUUUGGUUUAAAAGCUAGUGGCACGAAGCUACCGUGUGCUGGAUUAUGACUGAACGCCUCUAAGUCAAAAUCAAGGCUAGAAGUGACGCAUACACCCAUCUUUUGCUUGCUGACCAACAAUAGGGGCCUCAACCCCUAAGUUCACAUAUCGUUGGAUAAGCCACUGUGGUGGAAAUAUCACGGUAGCUGCCCUAAAGUACAAUUUCCAUCGAGCGGCGGGUAGAAUUGUUUGCAUACUACUUAAAUAUGCGACGGGGUAUUGUAAGUGGCAGAGUGGCCUUGCUUCCACGAUCUUUCAAGAUUUAGUUUAUCGCUCUGGUUC
rfam:Capsicum annuum cultivar Zunla-1 chromosome 5, whole genome shotgun sequence